rnacentral:sRNA from 1 species
ACUGCUUCGAAGCAAUAUUUUGUUGGUUUUAGCCUCUUUUGGGACAAAUUGGAUAUAAGUGUUGUCUAAACACUCCUAAUCCAUCUCUAACUCUUAUAAUUAGUCAAAUGCAUUGGAUUGUGAUACAUUUUGACUAUUGAAUAACUAACAAAGCUAUUUACUGCUUCUAAGGAAUUUUUUUGUUGGUUUUAGCCUCUUUUAGGAGAAAAUAGGUGUAAGUGUUGUUUGAACACUCCUAAUCCAUCUCUAACUCUUAUAAUUAGUCAAAUGCAUUGGAUUGUGACACAUUUUGACCAUAGAAACAAUAACAAAACCAUUUACUGUUUCUAACCAAUUUUUUGUUGGUUUUAGCCUCUGUUGGGACAAAAUGGGCGUAAGUGUUGUCUAAACACUACUACUUCAUCUCUAACUCAUAUAAUUAGUCAAAUGCAUUGGAUUGUGACACAUUUUGAGCAUAGAAACACAAAGCUAUUUAUUGCUACUAAGCAAUUUUUUGUUGGUUUUAGUAUCUUUCGGGAGGAAAUGGGUAUAAGUGUUGUCUAAACACUCGUAAUCCGUCUUUAACUCUUUUAAUUAGUCAAAUGCAUUGGAUUCUGAUACAUUUUAACCAAAGAAAUCUUAACAAGGCUAUUAACUGCUUCUCAGGAAUGUUUUGUGCGUU